UCCCGUCCGAAAACCUGGCGCAAUCCUACGCCGCCGCCGCCGCCGCCGCCGGAGAUGGAGGACGACGGCGACACCGCGAGGCAGCUGAGGAAGCUGAGCAUAUACAGCGCGGCGAGGAUCAUCAAGCGGAGGGACAACAGCCUCUACAACGCCCUGAGGUCCAUCUACGAGGACUCCAUCUUCGUCGCCGAGAUCGCCCAGCUCUGGCCGGCCCUCCCCCUGGUCGCCAACCUCCGGUGCGGCCUCUGGUACUCCGCCGCCUUUCACGCCGCCUGCUACUUCAAGUCCACCGACGGUCACACCAACAACCUGUCCUUCAACACUUCGCGGCUCAACCUCCACGUCGCCCUCCUCGCCGGACAGAAAGGAGGGUGUAUCAUCGUCGAUUCAACUCGGAAAGGGAAGAGGUUUCCCGACAGCAUGUCGAAGACGAUACCCAUUUGGACGUGCAUCAUGAAUAGAGCUAUCGUCAAUUACAGGAGGAAAAUGGGCAGUGAUGGCCUAAUUUCAAAAGGGGGUGGAGAUAAAACUAAUCAACAUGAAAGUAGUGAAGGACAGGCUCCACUGGAUUGGGAUUGUUCCUUGCAUCUUCCAUUGUGGGUUUCUGAGACAGAACGGGCAACUAUAGAGAAUCACUUGGAAAGUUGGACUCAUCAGUUGGAAGCCAGUGGGGCUGAUAUUUGUUCAAUUGCCUCAUGCUUGAAGAAGCCCCUGCGUCCAUUAUGGAUUUCACAGAGAACUGUCAUUUGGUUGAAUGAAGUGCCUGAUCACGAUUCUUGGGAUUUUACACCAAUCAUACUUGUUUCUGCUUCUUGCUCAAGUGGAACUGUUCAACAUAAGACUACUUCAGAGUUCAGCUGGAACUACAUAGCAGGGGCUGGAGAUGAUGAGGAAAGCUGGGCAAGGGGUUUAUCACCAUCUCUUUUCUGGAAAAAUGUAUAUGAUAUCAUGGAAAGCGGUCCUGAUUUAUGCAAUCGGAAGGUAGCUGAUAUAGUAGAGAAGCAUAGAGUUUACCUAGCUCAUAGGGGACAUACUGUCCCUCAGGUCAAAGUCAAGGGUCCAAAAUUGCCUGGGAGUGCAUGCAAUCUUUCUUGUGACGAAUUACCCCUAGCUUCAGAGAUGGCUAAUGCUGAAGUUGAUCCUAAGUCUUCCCAUGAAAAUUGCCCCAUAACUUGGCUGGGUUUGACAAAUCUUGCUGUGGGCUCAACACAAUUCUCUGCAGAAGCAUCUGGUGUUGAUUGUGUGUUGAAUUGUUCUCAGGAGUUUAUUUCUGUCUCUUUACAAAGUACUGAGGCUUAUCUCCAUCUUCCAAUGCUGAACUCAAAACAUGAUCGGUUCUCUGUAUUAAGCAAUCUUCAGACUGCUGUAAACUUCGCAAGGUCGAAUCUUAGCAAAGGGAAGACUCUUCUCAUUUGUUGUCAGAAUGGGGAGGACAUCAGUAUAUGCACUUGUCUUGCAAUUCUAAUGUCAUUAUUUGAUAACCAAGGAACCUACGAUGAUGGAAAGUCCUUGAGCGAGACAACUGUUACUAAAUGGGACAUGCGGCGGCGACUCGUUUAUAUCUGCAAGUUUGCAACAAAUGCACGACCUUCCAGAGGAAAUCUAAAGCAGGUGUUCAAUUUUCUUACUGGCGGAGGAAGAGCGAGUUCGGAUUCUUAAGAUUAUGGACAUUGCUGCUUCCGUGAAUGCUAAUCGGAUCACCCGAGUCCUUGACAAAAGAUACAGACAGAAUUUGAAUGGGUUUGUAUGAGCUAUCUAAUAUAUCUGGGCUUCACAAUGGGUUGGUUCCACAUGGAAUGCGACUGCAUGUCUUGAAUGGCUGAAAUGGCUUACAAGACCACCUUUAGCGACCACUGGGAGCCUGAACACACAUUUGUGAGCAUGCAAAAGCAUUGUCGUGCACGUAUUGGGAUGCCAUUCCACACCCUCGAAAUCAGUCUGUCACCGUUCGAUUAAUGGGGUCUAGACGGAUAAAAUGAAUUGGACAUCGACCACGGCCCGGUAGUGCUGCGGGGUACCUAGAACCAGAUCCGAGCAAUUUUUUGACCUCAUGUGUUGAACAUUGAUGCACCCUUCAGGUUAAUUCCGGGCUGCUUCAUUGAGAUUCUGCGUGAAGAUCACCAGGGAUAGAAUCAAGUCAAGUAAACGCAAAAGAGACCAAUCAGGUGUAAAAGUUGAAUGUUGGAAGAUAAACUUUGCAAUUUGCUUUAUAGUAGAGAGAUACUACAGGCGUGCCUCGAAACCCAUUGCUCAUACCCAGGACGCAUGUUUCGAAAACGAAGGAGAUAAGGGUCUUGAAAAUGCAUCUUUUAUGUUCAGGUAACAAUUUAUCGACAAUUGAGUGAUGCCAGACUUGCUAAGAUCGGUUUAUCAAGUCGAUUUUUAAAGUGAUGUGUCAGACUGUUAUUGAUUCUUGAAGAUGGCCCACUUAUUCAAAAGGUGAUUCACAGCCCGACACAUCACUUCAUAAACCGAUUCUGCAAAUCAAUCUUCAUAAGUCUAGCAAUCCUCGAGUUCCGUGGUCUGGGUAUGAAUCACAAAGUAGAUACUUUGGCAAAUUGGCAUCAUGUCCUAGCAAAUUAGCUUUAUAGUGUGCUGUGCUUUUUUAAUGGCCCCAUAACAUGCACGACCAUACAAGAUUUUCGGCUUUUU